UACGGGGGGGGCAAGCGUUGUUCGGAAUUACUGGCGUAAAGGGUUCGUAGGUGGCCAACUAAGUCAGACGUGAAAUCCCUCAGCUUAACUGGGGAACUGCGUCUGAUACUGGUUGGCUUGAGUGCAGGAGAGGAACGCGGAAUUCCAGGUGUAGCGGUGAAAUGCGUAGAUAUCUGGAGGAACACCGGUGGCGAAGGCGGCGUUCUGGACUGCAACUGACACUGAGGAACGAAAGCCAGGGGAGCAAACGGG
rnacentral:rRNA from 1 species